rnacentral:rRNA from 1 species
GAGGCCCCGUAAUCGGAAUGAGUACACUUUAAAUCCUUUAACAAGGAUCCAUUGGAGGGCAAGUCUGGUGCCAGCAGCCGCGGUAAUUCCAGCUCCAAUAGCGUAUAUUAAAGUUGUUGCGGUUAAAAAGCUCGUAGUUGGUUCUGCGUGCCGCGCUGUCGGUUCGCCGCCUGUCGGUGUAACUGGCAUGUCGCGGCAUGUCCUGUCGGUGGUGAACGGAGUCCACGACGCUACAUGGGCUUUAUAGUCGAUGUUAGCAUCGUGUGUACUUCCGUUGGCCGAUCUCUCCUACUUCGGUGCUCUUAAACGAGUGUCGAGGUAGGCCGACACGUUCACUUUGAACAAAUUAGAGUGCUUAAAGCAGGCUGAAAUAUCUGCCUGAAUAGUGGUGCAUGGAAUGAUAAAACAGGACCUCGGUUCUAUUUUGUUGGUUUUAGGAAUAUGAGGUAAUGAUCAAUGUGGACUGGCGGGGGCAUUCGUAUUGCGACGUUAGAGGUGAAAUUCUUGGAUCGUCGCAAGACGCACUAGAGCGAAAGCAUUUGCCAAGUAUGUCUUAAUUGAUCAAGAACGAAAGUUAGAGGUUCGAAGGCGAUCAGAUACCGCCCUAGUUCUAACCAUAAACGAUGCCAGCCAGCGAUCCGCCGAUGUUCCUUUAAUGACUCGGCGGGGAGCUUCCACCCGGGAAACCAAAGCUUUUGGGUUCCGGGGGAAGUAUGGUUGCAAAGCUGAAACUUAAAGGAAUGACGGAA